GACGAACGCUGGCGGCGUGCUUAACACAUGCAAGUCGAACGGAAAGGCCCUGCUUGCAGGGUGCUCGAGUGGCGAACGGGUGAGUAACACGUGGGUGAUCUGCCCCUUACUUUGGGAUAAGCCUGGGAAACUGGGUCUAAUACUGGAUAGGACCAUGCUGUAGGUGGUGUGGUGGAAAGAUUAGUUUCGGUAAGGGAUGAGCUCGCGGCCUAUCAGCUUGUUGGUGGGGUAAUGGCCUACCAAGGCGUCGACGGGUAGCCGGCCUGAGAGGGUGGACGGCCACAUUGGGACUGAGAUACGGCCCAGACUCCUACGGGAGGCAGCAGUGGGGAAUAUUGCACAAUGGGCGCAAGCCUGAUGCAGCGACGCCGCGUGGGGGAUGACGGCCUUCGGGUUGUAAACUCCUUUCAGCCAUGACGAAGCCCUGGUGGUGACGGUAGUGGUAGAAGAAGCACCGGCUAACUACGUG
rnacentral:rRNA from 1 species